GCCCCCAAUGAGGAAGUUUAUGAAAAAUAAAACGUUAAAAGUAGUGAACUGAUUACUUUAUAUAUUGAUGAUUAUUCUUUUCUGAGGGGGA